UACGGGGGGGGCGAGCGUUGUUCGGAAUUACUGGGCGUAAAGGGCGCGUAGGCGGUCUUGUCAGUCCCUUGUGAAAUCCCCCGGCUCAACUGGGGAACUGCACGGGAAACAGCAGGGCUUGAGUUCGGGAGGGGGAAGCGGAAUUCCGGGUGUAGCGGUGAAAUGUGUAGAUAUCCGGAGGAACACCGGUGGCGAAGGCGGCUUCCUGGACCGAUACUGACGCUGAGGCGCGAAAGCUAGGGGAGCAAACGGG
rnacentral:rRNA from 1 species